GUCACAGAGCCAGACCCACCCCAGACCCUCCCCUCCCCCUCCUCAGAAAGCCUCCUUAGGGGCUCAAUCCAUUUCUUCUGUCAGGAGAUGGAGGCACAGGGAGAGAAAGAAGUGGGAGAGGAGGAUGCUGGAGAGGCAGGGAGGUGGCACAAAUGAAGGCAGAGGGUCCCAUCACUGACUUUCAAUCAACACAGUGCUGCUUCUGUUCACAAAGAACAGGAUCUGUCAACACUCCUACUACUUGCGAAGAGCUGGAGAAGAGCUUUUGCCCUUACUCCCUCUCCGUGGCAGAAGUGACUUACCUGAUGGAUGAGAUUAAAAGAAUUGGCCUUUUCUCUGGCUUACCAACAUGGAGGCAGCCUAUUUUUUCCCACCUACCUCUCCUUCUAGGUGCUCCACAAGCUACAUUAGGUGCUGGAGAUGGACCAGAUGCUGGAGAUGGAAAGCAUCCCUGUCUUGAAGAGCUCACAUUGGUCAUCAAUGCCUAAAGGUGGUUUCUCUGCUCUCUCAUUUUGCCUGAAGGCCUGUUAUAAGCUAUAGGCCAGAAACUAGGUCUUCUGAAAUUAACAACAAAGAAGAGCCUCCGAGCCCUGGGAGGAAGGACUGUAUCAGAUACUCCAAUUAUUGAUACUGCAAGAAAUACACUCACGGCUGCAGGUUUCCCAGAGAAGCUAAUCUUACCACUGUGGGUGGAGACCUGUCAGACUGUACCUGGGGCAUCGUUCGGAACUUCCAGGACUCCUGUAACCCAGCAGUAGAAGACUUUGUGAAAGCAGACAGCUGAUCCAAGGUCUGACAAAACAAGAAUUGAUUAUGUGGAUGAUGAGGGAAAUAUUGUCUUUGUUGGCAUUGUCUUUAAUGUUCUAUCUUUGAAGGGCAUACAAAGAAGCCCUUUGCCUGUAUUCUUGGGGCAUCUGUAGCUGGCUAUAUUUGAGCAAAGUGGAAUGUAAUACUGUCUGAAUGGUGCCUUAUUCCAAUUGACCUCCCAGAAUUCAUGAAAGGCAGUCUAAGGAAAUCUUAAUAGAGGUAACAAACUAAUGAGUCACAAAGGAAUGUAUACACUUUAAAUAAUGUCACAAAGGAAUGUAUAUACCUUAAAUAAUGUCAUCCAACUGGUAGACUACCUUAUAGCAUUCUUGUGAGGAUUAACCUAAUAAUCUGUGAAAAAGGUUUACUGCAGUGCCUGGCCUGAAGUAGUGGCUCAAUAAAGGUUAUUUUUUAAGGUUAUCA
rnacentral:lncRNA from 1 species